rnacentral:rRNA from 1 species
GAUGAACGCUGGCGGCGUGCCUAAUACAUGCAAGUCGAGCGAACAGACGAGGAUCUUGCUCCUCUGACGUUAGCGGCGGACGGGUGAGUAACAUGUGGAUAACCUACCUAUAAGACUGGGAUAAUUUCGGGAAACCGGAGCUUAUACCGGAUAAUAUAUUGAACCGCAUGGUUCAAUAGUGAAAGACGGUUUUGCUGUCACUUAUAGAUGGAUCCGCGCCGCAUUAGCUAGUUGGGAAGGUAACGGCUUACCAAGGCAACGAUGCGUAGCCGACCGGAGAGAGAGAUCGGCCACAUUGGAGCUGAGACAGGGUCCAGACUCCUACGGGAGGCCGCAGUAGGGAAUCUUACGCAAUGGGCGAGAGCCUGACGGAGCGACGCGGCGUGAGUGAUGAAGGUCUUCGGAUCGUAAAACUCUGUUAUUAGGGAAGAACAAAUGUGUAAGUAACUAUGCACGUAUUGACGGUACCUGAUCAAAAAGCCCCGGCUAACUACGUG